AUGAUAUUAAAGUUUCGUUUUAUCAUAGGUUCACUAGAACGUUCUUUAAUUGUUAGUGCAUAUAUGCAAUCUAAAGCUCAAUGCUUAUUGUUCUUAAUGGACGCUGUGUUUAUACCUUCUGCCAGCCCUCUGGGUUUAUCUUGUGGAUCUAUUCUCAUGGAUUUGGUUGAGCUAUCCGGCACAUCACUAGCUGAAGCAAUGUUCGAGAAACUAGGUCUCCCUAAACCAGUACUUUGUGCAUCAUCUUCCACAAGAUCGAUUUAG
rnacentral:rRNA from 1 species